UUGAAACAUCGGUUAUUGUACGAUCACCGAAGUUAAGUAACGUCAAGUCUAGUCAGUACUUAGAAGGGUGACCACUUGGGAAUACCAGGCGCUGUAAG